GAUGAACGCUGGCGGCGUGCUUAACACAUGCAAGUCGAACGGAAAGGCCCAAGCUUGCUUGGGUACUCGAGUGGCGAACGGGUGAGUAACACGUGGGUGAUCUGCCCUGCACUUCGGGAUAAGCCUGGGAAACUGGGUCUAAUACCGGAUAGGACGAUGGUUUGGAUGCCAUUGUGGAAAGUUUUUUCGGUGUGGGAUGAGCUCGCGGCCUAUCAGCUUGUUGGUGGGGUAAUGGCCUACCAAGGCGUCGACGGGUAGCCGGCCUGAGAGGGUGUACGGCCACAUUGGGACUGAGAUACGGCCCAGACUCCUACGGGAGGCAGCAGUGGGGAAUAUUGCACAAUGGGCGCAAGCCUGAUGCAGCGACGCCGCGUGGGGGAUGACGGCCUUCGGGUUGUAAACUCCUUUCGCUAGGGACGAAGCGUUUUUGUGACGGUACCUGGAGAAGAAGCACUGGCUAACUACGUG
rnacentral:rRNA from 1 species